rnacentral:lncRNA from 1 species
UGGCAGUCUAUGGGGGUGCCACAGUGUUCAAUUCUUGGACCGACUCUCUUCUCUGUAUACAUCAAUGAGGUCGCUCUUGCUGCUGGUGAGUCUCUGAUCCAUCUCUACGCAGACGACACCAUUCUGUAUACUUCUGGCCCUUCUUUGGACACUGUGUUAACAACCCUCCAGGCAAGCUUCAAUGCCAUACAACUCUCCUUCCGUGGCCUCCAAUUGCUCUUAAAUACAAGUAAAACUAAAUGCAUGCUCUUCAACCGAUCGCUACCUGCCCCUGCCCGCCUGUCCAACAUCAGUACUCUGGACGGCUCUGACUUAGAAUAUGUGGACAACUACAAAUACUUAGGUGUCUGGUUAGACUGUAAACUCUCCUUCCAGACCCAUAUCAAACAUCUCCAAUCCAAAGUUAAAUCUAGAAUUGGCUUCCUAUUUCGCAACAAAGCAUCCUUCACUCAUGCUGCCAAACAUACCCUUGUAAAACUGACCAUCCUACCAAUCCUCGACUUUGGCGAUGUCAUUUACAAUACCCUACUCAACAAAUUGGAUGCAGUCUAUCACAGUGCAAUCCGUUUUGUCACCAAAGCCCCAUAUACUACCCACCAUUGCGACCUGUACGCUCUCGUUGGCUGGCCCUCGCUUCAUACUCGUCGCCAAACCCACUGGCUCCAUGUCAUCUACAAGACCCUGCUAGGUAAAGUCCCUCCUUAUCUCAGCUCGCUGGUCACCAUAGCAUCUCCCACCUGUAGCACAUGCUCCAGCAGGUAUAUCUCUCUAGUCACCCCCAAAACCAAUUCUUUCUUUGGCCGCCUCUCCUUCCAGUUCUCUGCUGCCAAUGACUGGAUCGAACUACAAAAAUCUCUGAAACUGGAAACACUUAUCUCCCUCACUAGCUUUAAGCACCAACUGUCAGAGCAGCUCAGAGAUUACUGCACCUGUACAUAGCCCACCUAUAAUUUAGCCCAAACAACUACCUCUUUCCCUACUGUAUUUAAUUUAUUUAUUUAUUUAGCUCCUUUGCACCCCAUUAUUUUUAUUUCUACUUUGCACGUUCUUCCAUUGCAAAUCUACCAUUCCAGUGUUUUACUUGCUAUAUUGUAUUUACUUUGCCACCAUGGCAUUUUUUUGCCUUUACCUCCCUUAUCUCACUUCAUUUGCUCACAUCGUAUAUAGACUUGUUUAUACUGUAUGUUUGUUUUACUCCAUGUGUAACUCUGGGUUGUUGUAUGUGUCGAACUGCUUUGCUUUAUCUUGGCCAGGUCACAAUUGUAAAUGAGAACUUGUUCUCAACUUGAGUACCUGGUUAAAUAAAGGUGAAAUAAAAUUUUAAAAAUACAAAUUUAAAAAGCCUAAGAUCACCAUGCGCAACAGCAAAUGUUGAAUGGAGUAGCGUAAAGUCCGC